CCGGGGGCGCGACUCGGGCGCGCGCGGGCCUCGGGCACUUUCCAGGGGCUGGCGGGCGGGCCGGGCGGCCGUCCCGGUCCUCGGGGGCGGCAGCUGGCCCGGCGUCGGGCUCCCCAGUUUCUGGUACCGAAGCGCAGACGGGUUUCCUUGUCGGAGCCACGCACCGUUAAUGUAAGGCCGUAGGAGGUGGAUCAAAAAAGAUCUUGCUGGGGCUUCCCUGCUGGCGCAGUGGUUGAGAAUCUGCCUGCUAAUGCAGGGGACACGGGUUCGAGCCCUGGUCUGGGAAGAUCCCACAUGCCGCGGAGCAACUGGGCCCGUGAGCCACAACUACUGAGCCUGCGCGUCUGGAGCCUGUGCUCUGCAACAAGAGAAGCCGCGAUACUGAAGAGGCCCGUGCACUGCGAUGAAGAGUGGCCCCCGCUUGCCGCAACUAGAAGAAGCCCUCGCACAGAAACGAAGACCCAACACAGCCAAAAAAUAUAUAUAUAAAAAAAUAAAUAAAUAAAAUAUAAAAAAAAAAAUAGCCAGCAUAGUUUGUUUAAAAAAAAAAAAAAAAGAUCUUGCUGUGAUUUAUGUCAAAAAGUGUUCUUCCUAUGUUUCCCUCUAAGAGUUUUAUAGUGUCCAGUCUUACAUUUAGGUCUCGAAUCCAUUUUGAGUUUAUUUUUGUGUACAGUGUUAGGGAGUAUUCUAAUUUCAUUCUUUUACAUGUAGCUGUCCAGUUUUCCCAGCACCACUUAUUGAAGAGACUGUCUUUUCUCCAUUGUAUAUCUUUGCCUCCAUUGUCAUAGAUUAGUUGACCAUAGGUGCGUGGGUUUAUCUCUGGGCUUUCUAUCUUGUUCCAUUGAUCUAUGUUUCUGUUUUUGUGUCAGUACCAUAUUGUCUUGAUUACUGUAGCUUUGUAGUAUAGUCUGAAGUCAGGGAGUCUGAUUCCUCCAGCUCCGUUUUUUUCCCUCAAGACUGCUUUGGCUCUUCAGGGUCUUUUGUGUCUCCAUACAAAUUUUAAGAUGAUUUGUUCUAGUUCUGUAAAAAAUGCCAUUGGUAAUUUGAUAGGGAUUGCAUUGAAUCUGUAGAUUGCUUUGGGUAGUAUAGUCAUUUUCACGAUAUUGAUUCUUCCAAUCCAAGAAUAUGGUAUAUCUCUCCACCUGUUGUUAUCAUCUUUAAUUUCCUUCAUCAGUGUCUUCUAGUUUUCUGCAUAC